rnacentral:rRNA from 1 species
AAUUCGAUGCAACGCGAAAACCUUACCUACCCUUGACAUGUCAAGAAUUUGCAGAGAGUGUGAAAGUGCUCGAAAGAGAACUUGAACGACAGGUGCUGCAUGGCCGUCGUCAGCUCGGUGUCGUGAGAUGUUGGGUUAAGUCCCGCAACGAGCGCAACCCUUGUCAUUAGUUGCUACCGCAAGGAGCACUCUAAUGAGACUGCCGGUGACAAACCGGAGGAAGGUGGGGAUGACGUCAGGUCCUCAUGGCCCUUAUGGGUAGGGCUACACACGUCAUACAAUGGCCGGUACAGAGGGCUGCCAACCCGCGAGGGGGAGCCAAUCCCAGAAAACCGGUCGUAGUCCGGAUCGUAGUCUGCAACUCGACUGCGUGAAGUCGGAAUCGCUAGUAAUCGCGGAUCAGCUUGCCGCGGUGAAUACGUUCCCGGGUCUU